rnacentral:rRNA from 1 species
UUCCCCUAGUAACGGCGAGUGAAGCGGGAACAGCUCAAAUUUGAAAUCUGGCCCUUGGGUCCGAGUUGUAAUUUGCAGAGGAUGCUUUUGGUGCGGUGCCUUCCGAGUUCCCUGGAACGGGACGCCUUAGAGGGUGAGAGCCCCGUACGGUUGGCCACCAAGCCUGUGUAAAGCUCCUUCGACGAGUCGAGUAGUUUGGGAAUGCUGCUCAAAAUGGGAGGUAUAUUUCUUCUAAAGCUAAAUACUGGCCAGAGACCGAUAGCGCACAAGUAGAGUGAUCGAAAGAUGAAAAGCACUUUGAAAAGAGGGUUAAAUAGCACGUGAAAUUGUUGAAAGGGAAGGAUUUAUGACCAGACUUUUUCUAGGGGGAUCAUCCGGUGUUCUCACCGGUGCACUUCCCCUAGUUGAGGCCAGCAUCGGUUUCUGUCGGGGGAUAAAAGCUUCGGGAAUGUGGCUCCCUCCGGGGAGUGUUAUAGCCCGUUGCAUAAUACCCUGACG